rnacentral:tRNA from 1 species
GGGCCAGUCGUCUAGCCUGGUUAGGACAUCGCUCUUACACAGCGAAGGUCGCAGGUUCAAAUCCUGCCUGGCCCACCA